GUUUUUGUAGAAUAUUUUACUGACCUGAGGGGCCGGAGUGAGGAUGAUCCAGCCCUUCACUGGGAAUUUUAUGGAAGCUCUGCAUGUGAACAGGACAUGGAAACUUCUUGUAACAUUUUGGCAAACCCUCCUGGCCUUGAUGAAGAGGAAGAUGAUGAUACCAAUUAUUUUGCAUUUGAGUUUUCAGACAAACCUCUUCUUACAUGUUACAAUAUACAAGCUUGCCUUUCUCAUGGCCCUUGCAAUUGGCUAGUGUUAGCCGAAGUUCUUCGAAGACUGAAAAUGUCAGUCAGGAUUUUCCAAUCUCGCUUUCCUCACUUUGAAAUAGCUACCAUUACAGAGGUAGAAUUUUACAAACAGGUGUCCACAAGCCAGGUCCAUUUCCAACUUGGGAACCUUCAGUUCUGCUCCCUUGAUGGCAGGAUGUCUCUGGAACUGGUACGAUGUGUGCCUGAGUUGUUGGACCUCCUUGGUUCUACGGUGGAACUAUUAACUGAAGACUGUGAGAAAGUUAUUACAUUCACGAGGUGAACGAAAAUCAUGACUGAUCGACAAACUAUUCCCAUUUUGAAUAAUAAGGAAUGAGUUGAAUGGGUACUAGCAGGUGUGUACAGUAAGCCAGCCACUACUUCUGUUGUUUCAAAUCAGGCAUGGACCAGCCACCCAAACAGAACAGAAAAAAAAGGUCAAUUCUGACCUUUUAGUGCAACAGAAUAAGGAUUGCUGGGAUGUUUAAAGGAAGUGUUAAAAAUACUUUAACUAGGUUCAUUAAAAUAUUUUCUACCCAACUAAUUAUGUUGAGUGCACCUAAGUUUGUGAUCCACUAACCAUGAAAAACAAUUAGUACUGGAUUAACCGAUAUCUUGUGAAAUAAUCAAUAUUUAUUCCUGUUCCCAAGUUUUGGUUAUCAUUUAUCCUUUAUUCGCUUUUUAAAUAAAGUAUAUAACUUCCUUUCUACCCAAUUCACUCACUAUCUUACACAACACUAGUUUCCGUUGAGAGCAAAGGCUGGUGGUCUAUUCACAGGCAUUUAAGAACUGAAUUUUCAGACAGUUGCAAAGAGACAGCAGAAAAAUCUAAUGAAGAAGUGUAUUUCUGAUUUCUGCUCCCACUCUUCUUCAUGGACUCUUCAAGUAGAUGCCUUGAUUAAAUGAUAGCUCUGCAUAUUAAUGAAUCUGAGAUCAGGCAUUCGGCAGAGUAUAGAUUAAACUUGUGUCCAAACUUUACAACACAAUGCGCUCUUCUGUGUUAAAAGAAACACAGUUGUGCAUGUGUACCUUUUUUAAAAAAUAAUUUGUAUCUGACUUGCAUACUAAGAGAACAAAAUGGUAUUGAUUUUCAUUAACUAUGAAUUCGGUAACAUUUUUUCAAGAUCAAGAAACAGGAAUUCACCAGAAUUAUAUCACCAGUGCCUGAAAGAUCUGAGACAUAAAUAUCUAAAUGGAAACGCUUCAGUGUGUUAACUGAACACACAUUCAUUCCUAAGUUUGGCAUUUCACACUGACAGAGGAUAUUUUAAUAAACUUGUUCACAAAGUAAACAGUUUAUCUCAAGCGAUAUCUAGAAAUUGGAUCCAGAAUGUGUAUCCUAUAAGUAGGAAUUCCAACUUUUCUGUCAUAUUUGUAAGUUUUGUUGGUGCUUAUAUUUUCAUGAUCAAAAUUUAUUUUCCAGUUUAAAACCAAUCAAAUUAGGUUGGUUACAUGAAAAUUGAAUACUGGUAUGCAUGAUGUUAAUUGAAGUAAAAGCCAAAUGGAGGUUUUGUUGGAUACAGAUAAAUUUGAGCCCACAUUACACAUUUAUACUACUCUCUGUGAUGAUGCACUUUACUUUGAAUGCUUGUUGAGUUGCACUUAUCACUGACUUGCUGUCCUGCUGGAGUAACAUAAAUUUAAUUCAAAGCCACAACAAGAUAGGGGACCUAAUGACAUGUGCAAGACAUGAAAGCACUUACAUUAAGUAAAGUAAUACAAACAAGAAAUGUGCAGUUCAGAUUCUAAACUACUAAUAUUGAUCUUCACUCCUUCAGCUAUAUUGCAAAGACAACCUAGGGUGACAUAUAUUCAAUUUUUGCCACAUAAAUUGGGAUUUUGAGCCAGAAUCUAAAAGCUUUAUUUUGAACCUGCCCAUCAACCAAACCUCAAUUUAAAUUGCGCAUCAGAAGAGAAUAAUCUGAAUCCAAAGGGUACUCGUGCUGUUUUCACAUUAAUAUGAAGCAGUUGGGAUGUGCAAAUCUUCAGAAAUGGCAUUUUAACUCAGGAGUCAGAUUGAAAUGAGGUAACCUAACUGCCUGGGCUUCAUGUCAAAUGUUGGGUAACUCCAACUCAGAGUAAAAUCAGAUUUAAAGAAUUAUCUCUCUGACCACUGGAUUCUUCUGACUGUAUGUUCCCAAAAUUUAAUUUAAGUGAGCAUGGCUUUGUUCACUCAUGCUGGCUAUGAAGUGUUCCUUUACUAUGGCAUAUUGCGUUCAGUAGGUGUAAUGAGAUUGUAAAUAUUGGGCAUUCAUUUUGCCAACUUUAAAUGCUCAGAAGUUCCAUUUGCAGUUCUGCACCAUUAUUACCUCAGCUCUGUUACAUGUUUGACAAUGGUGUAGCACAUUUCUUGGAAAAAGAUAUCAACUGUGUAGCAUAUUGCAUGAUUUUGCAGUUCGCUGUUAGUAGCAAACUUAGCUAAAAAUAUAUAGCCUUGCACUGCUGCUCAGUACAGUUGUUUUUUUAAGAUUCUGUGCAGGUGAAGAUACACCAUGCAGACAGGGAACAUGUUCUGAGAUGCAACAGUCCCUCAACAGAUAUACAAUCAAGCAAUAUAAGUCUUUGCCUUCUUAUAUCACUGUACAGUAUAAUCUUAUUUAAUCUCAUCCUUUUGUAGAAGCCAAAUGAUUGUAACAUACUGUUUAUACUAAUCCUGAAGGUGGUGUUGUGGGUCAAAUUAAUAUUAUGCAAAAACCCAACCCAACUUGCAGUCAUUUUCCACUGCCUGAAACUUGAAUGAAAGUACCAUGAGUGUUUCUGUUCCUUUGUGGGUCAAAACGUGUGAAGUUUUUCCUUAAACAUUAUUCUGCUGAAUUGCUGAGUCACAAAUGGACAGCUUCCAUACUAAGGACAGCACUCUCCCAAAAUCCCCCAGUGUUAAUAAUGUGAUCACAUGCCACUAACUUCUGCAUCUCAGAACAUGUGCCCUAUCAGACAUUGGCAUGUGGCAAAUACUAAGAGAAUGAAGAUCUCCAUGAAACACAAUGAGCUCUCCAUUGUACUUGCAAGAGUACAACUUUACAACCCCAGCUCUCUUAGUACCAUCCAUGAAUUAGAAGAGCAAGUACCAUAUUCCCAACCUGGGACAGGUUACCACAUCUGCCACCAUAUUUGUUCCUCACAUGUCCACCACAGUACAAUAUUGGCCAAGAACUCCGGUUGUUCCUCUUCCUACACCACCUUUGGAAUAUUUAGCAAUUAAAACCCUUUACCAAAUGAGUGUUGUUGACAUUCCAUUUGCCAAAGAUCUCUUCCCCCCAACUGUGUAGAAUUGAUGCAUGAGCAAAUCUUUCUUGUCUUAAUGAAGAACACUAGAUCCACAAAAUUUCCUCACCUAGCAUUUUGAACAUCGAUUGGCUUCAUAUUCCUAAUCUACAUUUGAGCAGUAAAGGAAGAGAACUGCUUCCCCCUUAAGGAUUAUUCUGGUCUCUCUCAAACUUCCACUCCUCUCUACCCAAAAUAAGCAAUGCCUUGGCCAACAACCUACUUUCCUGCCUCUCUGCUUUCUAUUCUAUUUUUUCUGUCUCCUUAACAACUAUCUGUUCACUUCCUCACCUCCUCUCUCCUGUUUCUUCUACAUUUUCUCUGCAUUUUAUUUCUGUAACCCACACUUCUCCCUCCACCCUGUCUGUCAACCUACCCCUCACCACCUUCCCUAUUUUGGGUUCAGUUAUUUCUUUGUCUUUAUUGUAAACCCUUUAAUCCUCAGGGGAAGGCAGUUGACUAAUGAGGGAACUCCAAUAGGAGGGAGGAAGAUGAUGGAGUAUCCAUUGUCUACCCAAGGCCAUUGAAUUCUGUGAACAGCAAGAAAAUGGAAGAGGGCUUUCCUGCCCAGUGACCAAUUAAGGGCAUCUUACCACUGCCACUGGUGUUUUACUAAACAAACUCUCUGGGCUCAGAAACGUGGACCUUCGUGAUCAGACACACUGUAGCUCAAAAAGGGGUCUCCAGCAGUAGCCACCACCCCCAGUGACGCUACUUGGACUAAAGAGCUUCUGACCUUCUGAUGGGAGCCCCAGCAGCAGCUUAUUUGCUGCCUGAUUCAUAGAAUCUGGUCCCAUUCUAAAACCAUCACUGCCAAACAAAUUUCAGCCUCUUGAGUACACUGCUAUUUCCUAACUCUGCUGCGGGCAUGGUGUAUAGAAAUGUUCCCAAUGCGAAGUACUGAACACAUCAUUUUUUUCCUGUAGGUGGUGCUAUAAUAUUUACAGUAUAUGAUUCAUUAUGUACAGUGGUCCUCAACUAAUGUCAUGCAGGAGCCCAACUUCAUUAGCAGUGAACUAUUUCUUUCCUUUGCCUGAAACUUAAAUGAAAAUAACUUGAGUGUUUAAUUCCACAAAUCAGUGGUGCCAUUUACCCAUUUGAUACUAAAUCCUACCUUCAGUCAGAGCCGGAUUUGAUAUGAGUAUUUUGUUACAAAUGAUAGUUUAUUUAAGAGAAGUUUAAGCAAAUAUUUGUGCUUUUAUUUUGAGAACUAUGAAACUAAGUUGCUCCAUGAGCUUUUGAAUAUACAUAAGCACAAAAAAAGCACAUUGCUCAUUUUGACCGAAUCACUAAGCAAAGGAAGAAAACCCUGUUGUUGGAGAAAAAAAGUAAUUUAGUCUUUAAUUCACAGUUUUCUUGUAAAUUACAUGAUGUGAAGAAUGCCUAUGCUUGGUUUUAUUUAGCUGAGAAUAUUUUUACUGUUUGGUGUUGGGGUUCAGUUUCAGUAAUUCUGAAUGGUUCACUGUUUUCUACUAUACAAUCAGAAAGUCAAAAGAUGUAAGAUUAGCACACAGUGUUCAACCCCCAGCUCCAACAGCCAGAAAAAUUGACCUGGGGUAAGCACCAACACUAAACAGUCUUUAAGUAUUGCCCACCUUGUUAAGUUUCAACCAACAGUGAAAAUAAUUUAAACAAAAGCCUGGCUCAUUAGCAAUAAUUUUGCUUUAAACUUGGAAUAUAUGUCAAAUCUUAGAUUUGACCACAUAAUCUAAACUUGAACUGUGCAGUACUAAGGAGGUGUUGCUUUGUUAUAAGUGAUGCAUUUCAACUGUAUUAAACUGGGCUGCAUUUGCCUUUUGAGGUUAUAGGGCACAUCAUUAAACUAGUUGGCAAAGAGUAGGUGUCUUGGCAAUACUGAUUUCAGAUGUUUGGUCAGGUUUUUUUUAAACUUAAUUCUAAAUAAAAUAAGCGACAAACAACUUUCAGUGCAAAAUUUAAACAGUAUGUUCAUGUCAGAAAUGUAGUUUUAAUCAGCGAAGAAACAUAUAGUAUUGUCAGUAAGUAAUAAAUGUAAAUGCCUUUACAGAGUAGUUUGAAAAGGGUUUGAGAUACACCAAUAGCUACUAUUUAGCACAUCUUCUCCAGUCCAUACUCUGCUACUAAUGCAUUUAAUUUGGCCAUCUAUACAUGAUACAGGAAACUGAAAGUACUCAGUGCGUUCUCACACCAAACAAGAAAAGGGAUUGUAUGUGGCACACCAAGACUGUUAUAUGCCAAAAUUCACAUUUCUAGACUUCAUUGGGUUUAGCCCUAAAUUUGAAAUUCAUUUAUCAAUGCAGCUUUUCAGAAUUAAAUUAGUUCACCAAAAUCAGCAGGCUUUUGUAAAUUGUUAAAUAAAUAAAAUGAUAAGUAAUAAACUUAACUAAGUUAGAAAGCAAUUACAUUAGACAAUACAAUAGAGCAACCACAAUGGUGCCUUUCUCAAUCUAUUACAAACUGUUAAUAAAAUCACAGUUAUUAAAUAAAAAUGUUUUAAGGCUCAGUCUGCCUGCCAAUCAGCAUCUAAAAGAGAUAAUACUAGGUUAAUAUUUCAGGGAUGAAGGAUCACAUCUAAUUUUUUUUACCUUUUAAACAGGUCCUUUCUCUGCUUUUGAUCAAGUUGCAGAAUUCCAGCAUUUUCUGUGUUUGUUCAGCUUUAGCAAAUCCCUUUUUAUUUCUACUGUAAGCAAUCAGUUUGAAGAUUUUAAAUUAAGGGGAUUACUUCUGCCUACUACUUGUGUUGAUAUAAAUUCAUUCUAAAUUUACCCAUUGAUACCGUUUUUUUUGUAAUUUGACCAAGUGUUUGUUGUCACCUGGGAGUUCAAGGUCUGCUGUAAUCUCAGUUUACGUCCCAGCAUUCCUUCAAAGUAAUGGCAUUUCUAUUCAAUAAAACAAUUAACUCAACCAUGUGGAGAUCAAAUUCUGCUAGUUAACUGGAUAUGUUUUUAUUGUAAAAUCUCCAGUGAGGUAGCUGAAUUUUGGUGCUGCAACUCUGCAAAGCAUCUGUUGCAAUGUAUAGAUAGAAGUAUUUACCUGUUGCAAACUGCUGCAGUUAUCUAAAAUAAACUUCUGACAAACCAGAUAAGGCUACACCUUCAUGUACAAAUCCUUCUUGAAAGUUUAUAAGACUGUUCUAUGUAUAUUUGUACAGUGUUUGAUAUUGCUAAAAUGGAGUUGGAACCCUGUUGGUUAACUCUUAGUUUAUAUAAAGACGUCUACAUUGUUUUGCUGGAAAGUAAACCAGCAUUGAUGGGUUUUUUGAAUUCUUCAUGUUUAUACAUUUGUUGUUUAUAUACACCAGAGUUUUUUUUCUGUUGAAAAAGUAAAUUAUUUAGUUGACGGCAUAUUUUCAUUUUGAAGAUUUAACAAAUGUAUUGUGUUGGUAAUAUAAACAAUGAGGAACUUAGAUGAAUGUCUGUAGAUUGGACUCUUCAGAUUUAUUUGUAAGGAGCGGAUAGAGAGAACGCCUUGAUGUUUUGUUUACAAUAAGUUGGAAUCUGGAAUGAGUCAAACAUCCAUUUAUACAGCUAUCUGAAGUCAACUCCCAUUAAACUUAUUUGGAUUCUUA